rnacentral:tRNA from 1 species
ACGAAAUAGCUCAGUCGGGAAAGCGUUAGUUUAUAGAUCGAAAGGUUCCUGGUUCGAUCCCGGGAUUCAGCA